ensembl:snRNA U6 U6 spliceosomal RNA
AACAAAAUAUACUGUGCUUGCUUUAUACUAAAAUUGGAACGAUACAGAGAAGAUUAGCAUGGUCCCUGCGCAAGAAUGACAUGCUAACAAAAUACACCCAAGAUGA